UCAACUCCAUAAAGUAAUGCAGCCUUGCAGCAGGUUGCAGUUUAUAGCAAGCUAGCAUCUUGAUUCUUGACAUCUCCCAAUCUCCUCUAUGGCCAUCCCUGCUCGCUGUCUUUUUCCCCAAGCGGGCUGAGUCAUCCCUAUGGCUCUUGUGGCCUCUACGGAUUCCAACACUGAAGAUAAAUUAUUAGAUCUUCAUGUGGUUGAAAGAUGAUUUUUUUAUAUUGCCAUAAACCCUAUAUUAAAAAAAGUGUUUUGAGAAUUGUUAGGGAUGCUCCUGGAAAGCCUAAAAACCUAUGAGUAUGCCAAUCUUGUGUGUCAUCCGGCAUUGAAGAUGAACCCAUAUAUCGUGAAUGUCGCAUCCUUCGAUUUUGUGGUGAAAAAGGCAGCAUGAGGAUUUUUCUACAGAUAAGGGCUUAUUCGGUUAGCUCUCAAUCUAUAUAGAUUGAGUGAGAUAGGAUGAGUUUGAAUCCCAAAUAAGUUAAACUUUUUAAUUUUUUCCAAUCACAUCUAAUCCAUGUCUAUUGAGAAUAACCAAACAAGACCUAACAAUUUUGCAUAGCUGUACACAUGAUAAAGAGACGAAAAAUCCGUGCAUUUCCGCGCUAGUAUGUCUAGAUAUAUUUAUAAUAAAAGUGAUCUGCACAAUUUCUCCAUGUGAUCACAGGAAACGAAACAAUUCUGUAGACCCUCAUGAAGAAACCUCUCCCUAUGGCAAUCGAAAAAAGACACGAUCGUACCGUGAGCAGAUUCUGAUCUAAAAGCAAAGCCUUGACGGGUCGCGGUCGACAAGUGUCGG
rnacentral:lncRNA from 1 species